ACGCCACUGCCUGUCACAUGGGUGAUUCCGAUCUUGAGAACAUGCCUCUCGCAAAGGAUCUCCUUCAUCCCUCUCCAGAAGAGGAAAA